AGUAACGGCGAGCGAACGGGGAAGAGUCCAGAGUCGANNCCUGCGCUUAACGGUGCGGGACAUGUGGCGUGGGGGAGCCGACGUCCUCCGAGUGCGGGUGGCGGCGCAAGUUUCUUUGAGAAGGGCCACUUGCCGGAGCGGGUGCUAGUCCCGUACCGCCGCCGGCCCGCGCGCGGAGUUGUCGGUUUCCUUGGAGUCGGGUUGCUUGGGAGUGCAGCCCAAAGUGGGUGGUAAACUCCACCUAAGACUAAAUACGACCGAAAGACCGAUAGCAAACAAGUACCUUGAGGGAAAAUUGAAAAGCACUUUGAAGAGAGAGUUCUAUAUUACGUGAAACCGUUCAGAGGUAAACGAGUGGGGCCUCGAAGUCCUAAGCCGGUGGCGCAAUCAGGUCGGUCUUUCCGCACGCUCGGUGCGACGUCGGAGCCUCGCGACUUGAGGUCCGCCGCUCCGUCCGUCGGUCUGCCGCACCGCUUUUGCGCAUCCCUGGCUAGCAGGACGUCGCGAUCGGUUGGGAGGCUGUCCGCGGCGGCACGGAAAGGUAGCCAUCCUUCCUCUUCGUAGGAUCGACGGUGUUACAGUCCGCGCCGUACGCCGCAGUCGGGUCCCCCGACCGAGGAUUACUUUAGGCCUCUCGCAUUCGAGCGGGCGCGUUCGCGUCGUUGGGGUUCGGGUUAGGACGCCACCUUUACGGGUGAAUCCGCCCGCGCCUCUUCGCCGCGGCGCACUUCCGCGCGAGGCUCUAGGAUCGGCGACGAGUACGUCGGCAUCCCACUCGACCCGUCUUGAAACACGGACCAAGGAGUCCAGUGCGCGCGCGAGUCCCCGGGACUUGAUUAGGCCCGAGGGCGCAAUGAAAGUGAAGGGCGUUUCGGACGUCCGAGUCGGGAUGCUCUUUUCGAGCCGCACCGACGGCCCGUCUCAUGCGACUUCGCUGAGGCGGAGCAAGAGCGCGCGCCCUGGGACCCGAAAGAUGGUGACCUAUGCCUGGACAGGAUGAAGCCAGAGGAAANUCNGGUGGAGGUCCGUAGCGGUUCUGACGUGCAAAUCGAUCGUCGGAUCUGGGCAUA
rnacentral:rRNA from 1 species